GCCACGCCCCCGCCGCUGAGACCCAGGAAGCCAAGGAAACGCAGUGACUGAACCGGACCUGGGUCCCUUCAGUCAGCCCGAGGAAGUAUCCUAUAUUAUAUUUUUAAAAUAGGAGCUACAAACUCAAAUGUCUCUAGAGGCCAAGAAAUUGUAAGUAAAUUUUAAAAUCCAUUGUAAGAAAAAUUGGAAAAUAUGAGGGUAUGUUAAGUGGAGAGUGCCUGCCCCAUCGAAAGGUAGCAGUGCCAGAUCAUAGUUUUCAGGUAAAGGAGAAAAUCCAUACAUUUUAAUAACAUUUUUGAGUGAUCAUUGAUGUAUAAUAACAUACAUGUAUUUAAAGUGUACAAUUUGAUAAAUUUUGACAUGGAUACAACUAAGAAGCCAUCACCAUAAUCAAGAUAAUGAACAUGUCUACCACCCCCAGAAGUUUUCUCAUGUUUUUAUUCAUCCGUCCCUCCAGUCUCCUACCUCUUCUCCCUGUCCCCACCCACCUCAUCCCCAGGCAACCACUGAUCUGCUUUGUUACUAAAGAUUGUUUGAAUUUUCUAGGAUAAUAUAUAAAUGGAAUCAUACUCUUUCGUCUGGCUGCUUCUACUCAGUCUAGUUAUUUUGAGAUUUAUCUUUAGUGUUGUAUGUAUCAAUUUUUAGUGCUAAGUAGUAAUCCAUUAUAUGGAUAUACCACAGUUUGUUUACCCAUUCAUCCUAUUGAGGGAUGUAUGGAUUAUAUUCUGCUUUUGGCUACUACAAAUAAAUCUGUUAUAAACAUUUGUGUCUUUGCACUUUCAUUUCUCUUGGGUAAGUACCUAGUUGUGGGAUGGCUUUGUCAUGUAGUAGUUUUUAAGAAACUGCCCAACUGUUAUCCAAAGUGAUUUUAACAUUCUACCUACCCCGCAACAGUAUGUGAGAAUUCCACUUCCUCUGCAUCCCUCCUAAUACUUGAUAUGGUCAGUAUUUUUAAUUUUAGCCAUUCUGGUAGGGAUGCAAUGGUAUUUCAUUGUGGUUUUAAUUAUUUUUUUGAGCCAAAGAACAUGCACGAAGGCAAAGGUGUUGGUGUGUUUUUGGGAGGUGGGGCAUACAGCUUUAUGUAUAGUUUUACUGACAAAAUUUAACAUAAAAUUAUUAACUUAUAAUUCUGCCUUUUGCAGCUAUUCUUCCAAUUUUAAAAUAGAGACAUGGCUCUAGGAAAAUGGAGAAACUUUGUACAGCAGGAGAGUAAAGAAUAAUCAACUUGUAUUAUAGUUAAGAACUCAUCCCCCUUCUUCAAACUACAGAUCUGUUGACCAUAAAGUGAUACCAUAUGCAUCACAAAAAUUAGCCACAUGUUCUACUAUACUUACACAGUAGAUAGCUGAGUAUAACCCCAGGAAUGUAACUUCCCAAGAUCGUAAAAAAUGUGCACACACUACAGACCAGGAGACAAAACUGGAAAUAACAGAAAUAACAUGGGAUAGUUAUACAUAACACCAAGAUAUUUUGGAGCACAGGAUACACACACAAUUGUAAAUCUAUAAGUGACCAGUAUAAGUGACCUAUCCGGUUAUUACAGAUUUUUUUCCAAAGAGCAUUGUUUUGCACUAAGGGCUGACUAAUGACUGCUGCAUUCAACCAGCCUUAGUCCAUUUCAACACUUGGUAAUAAUUAUUUUGAGGACACAGGAGCUAAUUUCUGGCACAGAGAGUAACAACUCCCAUUACUCAUGCCUGUGGCUAUAUUACUGCCAGGUGCAAGAGAACAAAAAACUAUUAUGUCCCCAGAAACAACUUCUACUUCACUCAUUUAAGGAAAUUAAUGCGGCCUGAUAACUACAUCUGAAAGUUCAAACUACCACUAUAAGCCCACUGAAAUUCAUAAAAACACAGCAAAACAUGUUACAGAAAUUAGAGGUAUCUAUACAAAUCUAACAUAAUUUACACAAAUCUAAUGUAAUGUAUAGCUGCUAAGCUGACAGGAUAAAUUUAUGGCCAUCACUAUCAUCUUUCCUAACCAUAUAUACUGCUCAAAUUGACCCCACUUCUAAGUCACUUAGAAACAAACUGCCAUUUAAGUGAAACUCCUACAGUGACAUGUUUAUUUUCCUUCUGUCAUUUAUGGUUAAAAAAAAUCUUGAUUGUUUUAAGAAAUUUAAAAACAAUCAGAAAAUAUCCUUAAUUCCCUUUAGGAACAUCAAGGCAGAAAAAUUUUCCCAUAAAGUCUUCACCUGAUUUUUCACACGCCAGUCUUAAACUGUCUUACAUUUUUACAUCAUCUUUAAACAGUGAUAGUAAAUUAAACUGAAAAGCAAGCAAAGGAAAUUCAUUCAGGGAGUUUCUAAAAGACACAGGAGGAAGGAAUACAUACCUCUGACCAAUAACUGAUGAUGAUAAAGAGCAACGGGGUCUAAAUCUAAGUUUGAUUUUGAUUUUUCAUUCUUUAGUACAGAGUUAAUAAAUUAACUAGUCAAAAGCAGAUUAGAUGAAUUGCGGAACAAAACUAAGACCUGUUUCUAAAACAGCAAGGGCCCUGGAAAGAAUUUGAAAUUCUAUAAAUGAAAUGGAAAGGCCAUAAAGUCAAAGUAAGGGAUAAGCCAAGAAAAGUAUUACUAUAUCGAGAAUUUAGUUUUUCAAAGGGAUUUCAUAUUAUGCCCUACAUUUGCAGCAUCAUCAUUUUAAGCUAAUUGACUUGGGGCACAUUAAUGCAACCCAGUGCAGAAGUUUGAAGUUUAGAAUCUUCCAAAAAUACAUUUAAUCACUUCAGUAAAAUCAACAUCAACAGUACAUCAUUCCCCAAAUACAGGUAUCGAUGCUUUAAAAAAAAAAAAAAAAAAAAGCCUUCAAUGAAUAAAAAAAUGCAUCCAAAUGCAA